AACUAACGCUGGCGGCGCGCCUAAUACAUGCAAGUCGAACGAUGUAGCAAUACAUAGUGGCGCACGGGAGAGUAACACGUGGAUAAUCUCCCCUCGAGAGAAGAAUAACUAGUCGAAAGAUUGGCUAAUACUUCGUAAGACCACAGAAACAAAUGUUUCAGGGGUAAAAGUCGUAAGACGCUUGAGGAUGAGUCUGCGUCCCAUUAGCUAGUUGGUGAGGUAAUGGCUCACCAAGGCUUCGAUGGGUAGCUGGUCUGAGAGGAUGAUCAGCCUCACUGGAACUGACACACGGUCCAGACUCCUACGGGAGGCAGCAGUAGGGAAUAUUGCACAAUGGAGGAAACUCUGAUGCAGCGACGCCGCGUGAGUGAGUGAAGGACUUCGGUUUGUAAAGG
rnacentral:rRNA from 1 species